UAAUGAAAUUCAAGGUAUUCCAAAAUGGGAAAUAUUUUUCUUAUUCAGGAAUUAGAAAUCUAAAACCUCCUGGAAUGCGUGGAAAAUUUUAGAAGAGAAAAGGAGGAAAAAUUAAAUGGAACUCCGAUUUCAUAAAUUUUCCCACAGAAAAUCGUUCUUAUUGGCGACGAAUGGUAUUAGGCAGAAAAGUCGAUGAGAGACGGAAAGGCGCAGAAUAAAAAAUUGGAGAGACGAAUCAGUACGGUGACUCUGUGACCAGGACGGUAAUUACUCUCUUAAAAGUCUGUCAGCAAAUUCGCCACCAGCCGUCAAAUCAAGUACAGAGUCUGAAAAGUGAAAAGUUUCUGCACAGAUUCCAAGAGAAUCAGGAGAACAAAUCAGGGCGGACGGAUAGAACAAGCCGUUCUCUGUUCCGAUCAGGUGAUCUUCUAUUAUUAUUAUUUUUUCCAGUUUGUAUGAGUGGGAACGUAGAGAACUUGGGGACUUCGGGAGGUGGCCCCUCCCCGUCGACGCUUUCGCCGCAUGGAUACCCAACGACGCUGGCGGAGAAGCAGAAAGAGAAGGCUCGGGUGAGCAGAACGUCGCUGAUCCUUUGGCAUGCUCACCAGAAUGAUGUCACUGCCGUUCGAAAGCUUUUGGAGGAAGACAGGUCACUAGUUGACGCCAGGGAUUACGACCACAGGACUCCCUUACAUGUUGCUUCCCUUCACGGUUGGAUCGACGUAGCCAAAUGCCUUAUUGAGUACGGUGCCAACGUCAACGCCCAGGAUCGUUGGAGAAAUACGCCCUUAGCAGAUGCAGAAGGAGCCAAGAAACACAAAAUGAUUGAGCUGUUGAAAUCAUAUGGUGGUUCAUCUUAUGGUCAAAAUGGUAGCCAUUUUGAACCAAAGCCAGUUCGACCUCCUCUGCCAAACAAGUGUGACUGGGAAGUUGACCCUUCUGAACUGGACUUCUCAAAUUCAAGUGUCAUUGGAAAGGGAUCUUUUGGUGAGAUUUUAAAGGCAUUUUGGCGUGGAACACCAGUUGCCGUGAAACGCAUUCUUCCAUCUCUCUCUGAUGAUAGAUUGGUGAUCCAGGACUUCAGGCAUGAGGUCAAUCUAUUGGUGAAGCUGCGGCACCCUAAUAUUGUUCAAUUUCUUGGAGCUGUCACUGAAAAAAAGCCUUUAAUGCUAAUUACUGAGUUUCUAAGAGGGGGUGAUCUCCAUCAGUACCUCAAAGAAAAAGGUUCACUUUCUACAUCAACAGCCACAAAUUUUGCUUUAGACAUUGCCAGGGGCAUGGCCUAUCUACAUAAUGAACCAAAUGUCAUUAUUCACCGUGAUUUAAAACCAAGGAAUGUACUUUUGGUUAACUCGAGUGCAGAUCAUUUGAAGGUUGGGGACUUUGGAUUAAGCAAACUAAUCAGGGUUCAGAAUUCUCAUGAUGUGUACAAGAUGACUGGGGAGACUGGAAGCUAUCGGUAUAUGGCUCCUGAAGUUUUCAAGCAUCGGAAAUAUGAUAAAAAGGUUGACGUUUUCUCUUUUGCAAUGAUAUUGUAUGAGAUGCUAGAAGGGGAUCCUCCAUUGACCAACUAUGAACCUUAUGAAGCAGCCAAACACAUGGCAGAAGGUCAUAGGCCUGUCUUUCGUGCUAGAAGCUACAGUGCUGAACUGAAAGAGCUGACAGAGCAGUGCUGGGCUGCUGACAUGAACCAGAGACCUACUUUCUUGGAAAUACUCAAGAGACUUGAAAAGAUUAAAGAUAGCCUACCAGCCGAACAUCAUUGGAACUUCUUUAAUACAUAAUUUGUGGAAGGUGUGGGAGAUUUUCCAUUGGGUGAAAUAGGUUUUGGUGAAUGGAAUCCUGUAUCUUCAUGGUCAAUUUGCUACUUAUAAGAUGUGAGGCUUAGAUCUUUUGGUACCACAAAUAUCUCUGUCCCAAUAGGGUUUUGUGCUGCUCAAGGAGCUUGUAAGGAGGGUUUUGGUACCGAUGUCAGAAGUUUGUUUGGAAAGAGUUUCUCUUUCAUUACUUUGUACAACUGGUUAUUGUAAGGCUAAAAAGUCCUGCAUCAUCUUUGUCAUCCGCAAUCAUCUGUACCUACCUGUUUCUCGAGACAUUGGACAAGCAAGCAUUCCUGGUCUUAUGUUGUCUUCUGUAAAUACUGAAGCCUUUAUGCUGUAAAAUAGGGUUUGCUAUGAUUUUACUGAACUUAUUGAGAAAAAUUGUCCAUGAUACAUCCAUCAUAUAUGUUUGCGAGUCACUGUUGCAGUUUCCAAAUUUCUGUCAUAGAGAGGUCUUCUUUGGUCGGACAUGUAGCUCUGCGCCUCUGUUCUUUUAACUGGUAAACUCAUGAAGAUUUUGAUGGUACUUUGAAGUAAUAUAUUUGGUGCAUGUACCAAAACAGUACCUUCUCAUGCCAAUCUUUUUGAUAAUUCGAUCUCGUCUGGAAGAAAAUUUGAAUGCGAUCUUAAAAAAGAAAAGAGACAAAAGAACAGGAUUUUAACAUCAGAGGGUCAUGGCAAGCUAGAUGACUUUGGAAAGAAAUCCUGUUAGAGCUGUUUGAGCGAACAUUCUUGCUUCUUCCUUUUUUUUUUAAUCUGUGAAGCCCUUGGCCAUACAACAGAAGUCUGCAGUUCUUAUUUUAGGUCAUUGCCGGGACGAUGACAGAAACCGUCUGGACGAGCACGUCUGAUGAUCUUACCUGGCAUCACUCCAGAAUAGAAUUGGGUCCGCUGUCCGCAAUAGAUCAGGUUGAAACUUUUUUUAAAAAGAAAAUGUUUCAUUAUGUUUCAAAAAUAUAAAAACAGGAUUAACAGGAGUCUCAUUCGUGUUGUUCAAUUGGAAACAAAUCCCUUGACAUGAAGCCAAGGAUGCCUGAAUCUUCAAGCUUCUGUUAAA